AUGGAGUAUCAACCAAUCGUCUCCGUGUUGGAUGUCCACACGGAGCCCGUCACCAUCGAUGCUCUCUUCUCUCUCGUGGCUAAUUUUGACCAGAGAGUCGAGAUGUUUCAUAGCAACGGAGCAGGCGGCUUCAGAUCUUCUGCAAACUCCAUCUCUCGCGGCGGCGGCAGUUGACCAAGAGGCAACAAGGGCGGCUACCGUGGCAACCAGAACCAAAAGGGCAACGGUGGCGGCCCUUGUGGUGGAUCUGGUGGCUACGGUGGCGGCGGCCACCCUGAUGGUGGCAGAUCUGGCAGUGGCGGCGCUGGCGGCUAUGGUGGAGGUGGCUAUGGUGGCGGCAGCGGCAGCUAUCCUAAUUGUGGCGCCAGUUGCUACCACCAGAGCAACUACGGCGGCGGCGGUCCCUAUCCUGGCGGUGGUGGUGGUGGCUAUUACCACCAGGGGAACUCCAACAACAACAAUGGCCGGCGUCCCUCCUCCAACAACAACAGGGCCCGCAAUUUUCAAGGUUAUGAGGGCUACGAGGGUAAAUGUCAAAUCUGUAAAAAAAACUAA
rnacentral:rRNA from 1 species